rnacentral:misc_RNA from 1 species
GGAGGGAUCAUUACACAAAGAUAUGAAGGUGGGAUGCUGGUAACAGUACUCUGCUGAAUUAUUUUCACCCAUGUCUUUUGCGCACUUUUUGUUUCCUGGGCGAGUUCGCUCGCCACCAGGACCCCCACAUCAACCUUUCUUGUUUUUGCAAUCAGCGUCAGUACAAUAAUUGAAUUUAUUAAAACUUUCAACAACGGAUCUCUUGGUUCUGGCAUCGAUGAAGAACGCAGCGAAAUGCGAUACGUAGUGUGAAUUGCAGAAUUCAGUGAAUCAUCGAAUCUUUGAACGCACAUUGCGCCCUUUGGUAUUCCAAAGGGUAUGCCUGUUCGAGCGUCAUUUGUACCCUCAAGCUUUGCUUGGUGUUGGGCGUCUUAUUGUCUCUCCGUCUCGGGGAGACUCGCCUUAAAACAAUUGGCAGCCGGCCUACUGGUUUCGGAGCGCAGCACAAAUUUGCGCUUGCAAUCAAUCAAGGGCGGCAUCCAUCAAGCCUUUUUUUUUUAUCACAUUUUGACCUCGGAUCAGGUAGGGAUACCCGCUGAACUUAAGCAUAUCAAUAG